UAAAAAUGUUUCAUGUCUUUGAUUCACUGAAGGCUGCUAAUAGAAACUUCCAUCAUCUCUGGGAAAGCAGUAGCUGAGUGUGCGCCUUACUAGAGGUUGGUCAGUUCCAGUUUUUAAACUUACCCUCAGGAAUAUUUUGUCCAGCCACGGGAAAUUCCAGAUUUCUAUUUGCAAGCUCCAAGUACUAUUCCCUUCUCCAUCCGAUCUGAGGUAUGACUCUAUCACAUCUAUAACACAACUGUAGCAAAAUGC